AGGAGGUGAAACUAUCCUGGGUGGAUCGAAAGGAGGAGGAGGACAGGGACAGGGACAUAGCAGCUGGCUGAGUAGGACAAAGCCCCAUCCCAUCUGCAAAGCCUGGGGCAACAAAAGACGCAUUUUAAAGAUUUUAAAAAAGCUUAUCAUCCUGUGUUUUUGGAUACUGUCAUUAACCUCAGAAGCUGCUUGAGGUCUCCAUGUGCACGUCCGCAAGUACAUUAAAAUGCAAGAUCACAAGACUGUUCCCCCGACAACUCAUUGAUUUUAAACAGGACAAAGUAUUUGAGCUGCUGAAAAACAGCCCAGAUAGUGUCAGACGGCAACAGCCUUAUCAGGGUGGGAAAACGACAGAUAAAUCAUCAAAUGGCACUUUAUGAAAGAGCGUUAUUUUAUCUCGGUGAUGCCAUACUGACUGUAGAGGCAAUGAAACAAAUGAUCCUGGCAGGGGAAAUGCAUCAGCAAGUGCAACAUACACGAGACAAGUGCCACAGGCUGUGUUCUUCUCACUGAGCAAGGUUGUGGGUGAGAAACCAACAGCUUUUGUCAACAGACUUUGUCGUGGCUGGAGGAGUUCCCAGUUAAUUUACAAUGGCGAGACCUUUGCUUCCACAGCAGCACAAAUAGUGUUGCACAAUCAGCGGGACCGUGCUUAUAACUGGCGCUCACCGACUGCCAUCUUGUCCCAGAGUCCUGAAUUAAAAUACAUACUUAUCAGGAUAGGAGGAGGAAAUAUGUCAUGUUAGCUGGUGCUAGCAACAAGUACCAGAACCUUUGGUUCCGGUCCUACAGUACAGUGUGUUGAGAGCCACCGGCUCCCCUGUACAGCCUGGGAAUUCAGGGAGCAGUAAGUGGAAGUGAAGGGAGGGAUUAUUAGGGUUUUUGCAGAAAUAUUCAAUAAAUCAGCAUGAAACACUACUUUUUAAAGCACAAUUCUAUAUCUAAAUUAGUAUAAUGCACUUGUACGUUCUUAUUUUUGUACACAAAAUGUCUCUCCAUAUACAUUUGCCUGAUGGAAAUAUUAAAAGCUGUAUAUAUGUAUGUGUAUAUAUAUAUAUAUAUAUAUAUAUAUAUAUAUAUAUAUAUAUAUAUAUCCUGUUUUAGUUCUAACAACCACUUUUUUUACUGCAAGAGACCUACAGCUGGCCAGACACAUCAGGGGGGAAAAGGAGGUAAAGCUGUACCUAACUGGUGGUUUUUAAGCUUUAAGGUGGCCUGGCUAUGUGGCACUUCAUUAGCUGGGCCCUCCUUCAGUCUCUGAAGCAGCACUGAAAGCCGAAAAAAGCUACCGAAUGGAAACUGAAAGCUACGAAUUGGCUCAGAAGCUGCCAAAUGGAAGCCAAAGCUGCAAUUUGGACGUGAACAGAGCCUACCAGAGAGCACACAUAGUGUGUGGAAGAGGGCCUGGACUAGGGGUAAGUGGUUGGAAGAGCUAGGUGCCUGGUGCCACCUUCAAAUUUGCACCCUAGGCACGUGCCUCUUCUGCCUACCCUUAGUUCCAGGCCUAGAGCAGAAAGCCACCGGUUGGAGCCGAAAGCCACCGAUUGAAGAUGAAAGCUGCAGGAGCUGCCAAAUAGAGCCUAAAGCCUCUGAAUGGAGCUGAAAAAGAGGAGAAGGUGCAGAAAGGCAAAGUCGACACAAUGGAGCCGAAGAAUAGGAGAACAAAGAAGACCUUUAAAGAAGCCCAAAGUUCUAUAACCGAAGAAGAGUGAGGGGAGUACAACGCACCUACUAUCAUGAUGGCCUUUUAACCCUAAACAAAGGACGAGAAGGAUAAUAGGUCUAUUUUUUCCUGUUUGUACAUGAGAAGAAGCCCAAUUAAGUAAGUUAGUGGUUCCCUCCCCCCAUUCAAAUGUGAGUAAAUUCUGCUAAGCCACUUGGCACUUGAUAAUAAUAGAAGGUAGAAACUGUUCACAGAGUAAGCCCAAACCAUUCAUUUUUGUAACUAUUUUCAGGUUUUUUUUUUGCAGAUCAGCAAGUUCUUUCACCAGUUCAGAACUAGGCUAAAUUAGUUCUCUCAUACCUAUUAAUAUUAUAGAACACUGCAUGGAGAAAUUUCAGGGUUACCCUACACCAUCUGGUGGCCAUAUGUAAUACUGCAUGUUGCAAACAACCCCUUGCCAUCCUUAUAUGAAACAUGAGCUCUUGUCUACCCCAAAAAACCUUUGAUGUAAUUUUUUUAAUAGUUACACAUAAUGUAUCCGAUGUUGAACUGGGGUGCCAUUGCCUCAAGGUUAUUGCUUGUGCUUCACAGGUGAUUUAUCCGAAUUGCGCCCUUUGUUGUCCUUUUACGUGUUAUUGUACCUUCGUCUUGUAGUUUGUUAAAAAGAUUAUUGGGGAAGAACAAUCGUGCAAACAUUAAUAAAGGUAAAAGUAUCAAUAUGAGUGAAAAUAUAAACAAAAAGAAUGGUAUUAAAAUUAAAUGGUAUUAGAUGUGGAUGUGGGAAUUACAGGGAAUUGGGGAUUAGCCUUUUGUGACUAAGCACCACUGCCAGUUUACCAAAUUACAGAUAUUCUUAACCACUUGUGGCCAAUCAUAAAAUUACGUUCUAGAGCUGAGAGGUUUUUUUCACCAGAUAUAGUCUUCUGCUGAAAUUUGCAGUCUUGCCAGCUACGAUAAUGUUUGUGAAUCUGCUCAAGAACUUCUCAAUGCCCAUUGUUUCACCAAUAAAAAAACUUUUUUUUAAUAUGGGAAAAACUAGAAAAAAGUGAGAAAAAAACACAGGUGGCAGUAUUAGCAUUUUGCCAUGUAUUUUGU